GUCUCCUCCUCCAGUGACAUCAUGCCAAUGUGGGAACACACGGAUUAGACCUUUCUCCUAUGAAAUCAAUUACAUAAUGCUUUCCUACAGGGGUUUUAAAGAUGCUGGGCAUGUCUUCACGGAGCUGAACUAUGUGAGAAAGCAGGAAUCACCUCUAGUGGCUAUCUGUAAGACUGUUACUACAGGUCGUCUUAAGCCUACAAUGUAAACAGUGCUGCCAGAGAUUAAGUGGUCUGGGUGCCUUUAGUGUCCCUUUAAUGUCCCAACCACAGAUGUUCUCUUUGGGUAUUCUUUUUUAUUUUUCAUUUCUAAAAUAGAAUUGUAGACUAAAAGGGUCACGGAACCCACAACUCGACUGAACAAGACCUUCUGCACCUCC